AUCCUCUGUUGUUCAUAAGCAGGAUGACUGGGUUGACACAUGGCUGUGUGAUAACAUGUGCUACCCUCCCGACCUGUUAGAUGUCAGCACAUUACCCGUCCAAUA